GUCUAUGGCCAUACCACCCUGAACGCAUCCAGUCUCAUCUGAUCUCGGAAGCUAAGCAGGAUCAGGCCUGGUUAGUACUUGGAGGGGACUUUGGGAGGUUAACAGUUUGAUGCUAAAACCU
ensembl:rRNA 5S_rRNA 5S ribosomal RNA